GGGAAAGAUUUAUCGGAUUUGGAUCGGCCCGCGUUAGAUUAGGUAGUUGGUGGGGUAACGGCCUACCAAGCCUACGAUCUAUAGCUGGUUUUAGAGGAUGAUCAGCAACACUGGGACUGAGACACGGCCCAGACUCCUACGGGAGGCAGCAGUGGGGAAUCUUGGACAAUGGGCGCAAGUGAUCCAGCCAUGCCGCGUGAGUGAUGAAGGCCUUAGGGUCGUAAAGCUCUUUCGCCAGGGAUGAUAAUGACAGUACCUGGUAAAGAAACCCCGGCUAACUCCGUGCCAGCAGCCGCGGUAAUACGGAGGGGGUUAGCGUUGUUCGGAAUUACUGGGCGUAAAGCGCACGUAGGCGGAUCGGAAAGUUGGGGGUGAAAUCCCGGGGCUCAACCCCGAACUGCCUCCAAAACUAUCGGUCUAGAGUUCGAGAGAGGUGAGUGGAAUUCCGAGUGUAGAGGUGAAAUUCGUAGAUAUUCGGAGGAACACCAGUGGCGAAGGGGCUCACUGGCUCGAUACUGACGCUGAGGUGCGAAAGUGUGGGGAGCAAACAGGAUUAGAUAGCCUGGUAGUCCACACCGUAAACGAUGAAUGCCAGUCGUCGGGUAGCAUGCUAUUCGGUGACACACCUAACGGAUUAAGCAUUCCGCCUGGGGAGUACGGUCGCAAGAUUAAACUCAAAGGAAUUGACGGGGGCCCGCACAAGCGUGGAGCAUGUGGUUUAAUUCGAAGCAAC
rnacentral:rRNA from 1 species